UACGUAGGGUGCGAGCGUUAAUCGGAAUUACUGGGCGUAAAGCGUGCGCAGGCGGCUUAUUAAGUCAGAUGUGAAAGCCCCGGGCUUAACCUGGGAAUGGCGUUUGAAACUGAUAGGCUAGAGUGUGUCAGAGGGAGGUAGAAUUCCACGUGUAGCGGUGAAAUGCGUAGAGAUGUGGAGGAAUACCGAAGGCGAAGGCAGCCCCUUGGGAAUGUACUGACGCUCAUGUGCGAAAGCGUGGGGAGCAAACAGG
rnacentral:rRNA from 1 species